UUUAAGUGAACAAUAUAUAUUUACCUUAGUGGUUUAUAGGAGAACUUGGGUCCAAUUGUAAAUUCGAAAGUCUUGAGUUUAAACCUGUUUCGGAAGAGCCUUGUUCGGGGUGAAAAAACAAAAAAACAAAAUAUUUUUACAUUGUUAGGUCACAGUUCUUUACACCGUAUACUUUUCUCUUUUACUUUAUAACCACCUACAUUUUAAUUAAAAAGCAACAUAGAAAGUUGAUAAGAUCAUGAACAAGAAAAUGCACAGGCAAAUGUGUGUCCCUCUUAUUAGUUUAUUCCUUAAAACCCUACAAAACUCCAAAAUAUUGAGAAAG
rnacentral:lncRNA from 1 species